rnacentral:lncRNA from 1 species
GGCACGGUGCCUCACGCCUGUAAUCUGAGCACUUUGGGAGGCUGAGACGGGUGAAUCAUGAGGUCAGGAGUUCAAGACCAGCCUGGCCAACAUGGCGAAACCCCAUCUCUACUAAAAAUACAAAAAUUAGCCAGGCAUGGUGGCGGGCACCUGUAGUCCCAGCUACUCGGGAGGCUGAGCACAAGAAUCGCUUGAACCAAGGAGGCAGAGGUUGCAGUGAGCCAAGAUCGCACCUGGGUGCAACUUAUGGCUGUAGUGAAUGCCGAGAAUGAAGUACUCAGACAAUUCUAGCUGAGCGGGGCGGGGAGCAGUUCCUUUGAGAGAGCGUCACUCUAAGAUCUGUCUGCCAGGUAUUUAUUGAGAGAGCUUGUUUAAACUACAAUUUAGACAAACAAGAGACAUCCACCAGGUGGCUCUUGGCGGUCGGGUAUGAGGCACAUAUGGCCUUGUAAAAAACACUCAAACCACAUUUUUAGGAGGCUGUGUUCAGCGCUCCUUAUCACACAUACUACUCCCUGUCCUGUUUUCAAGGUCCAGGAGAUCUAGUCUUGUGUACAAACAACAUGCACACAGCGC